UUUGUUCCCUAAAUAGGGACUUGUAUGAAUGGCCACACGAGGGCUUUACUGUCUCUUACUUCCAAUCCGUGAAAUUGACCUUCCCGUGAAGAGGCGGGAAUACAGCAAUAAGACGAGAAGACCCUAUGGAGCUUUAAUUAAUCGACUCAAAGAGACCUCACUAACUAACCGACAGGAACAACAAACCUCUACAUGAGCCGACAAUUUAGGUUGGGGUGACCUCGGAGAACAAAAUAACCUCCGAGUGAUUUAAAUCUAGACUAACCAGUCAAAAGUAUUACAUCACUUAUUGAUCCAAAAACUUGAUCAACGGAACAAGUUACCCUAGGGAUAACAGCGCAAUCCUAUUUCAGAGUCCAUAUCGACAAUAGGG
rnacentral:rRNA from 1 species